ensembl:processed_transcript Gas5 growth arrest specific 5
GACAGCCCGGAGCCAAAGGGGCGGAAGGUCGCCGAGUGCUGGGAGGGGAGGUGGGGCAGCGACUGAGCGCCGCAGGAGCUGGCUGCAACCCAGACGCGGCCCGGGAGCGUCGGGAAUGGCAGUGUGGACCUCUGUGAUGGGACAUCUUGUGGGAUCUCACAGCCAGUUCUGUGGCAAAGGAGGAUGAAGGCUUACGAGGACUCGUCAGGAAGCUGGAUAACAGAGCGAGCGCAAUGUGCUAGAAUAGAAGACCAGAAAAUGAAAUGGUGGAGUUUGAGGCUGGAUAGACAGUUUGAAAGGGCUCCUGUGACAAGUGGACAUGCAGUGACUGCACCUUUGUUUCUGAGGUGCCUGGAUGGAGGCUCAAAUAGAAGAUGGUGUCAGAUAUAUUGUGUUAAAAUUUUACCAUUAAAGUGUAUUAUAACAUGAA